GCAGGGCAGCGGCGAUGACGGUUGGCAAAGGCCUGAAGACGACAGCAGCACGACGCGAUGUCGGCAUCGAAUUCUGAUGAACGAUAUCCGCACACAUUCGAUUUCAAUUAAGUCACGCCAAAUCCAUCCAUCCAAAGGCCUACACACUGUGGCGUGAAUGUUUUACAUGUUCAGGUAGUGGGUGAGUGUGUGCUUACCCUCUAAUGCGUGUGUGUGUGUGUGUGUGAGGUUGUUGGGAGAGCGUAUAUUCAUUCCACGUCACACAGUUGCGUCAGUGGACAACGCGACGAAUCACGCAAUGAUCGGAAUAGUGCACCAAACCAGUUCCGAACCAGGUGACUAACGACGACAACGGGCAGAGCUGUGUGCAAUAAUGUGCGCGCACGAAUGACGUGUUGUUGCCGCGUUGUUGGAUGCGUUCGAUGUAAAUGAGUGAGCAAAGUGUCACCAGCACACACACACACACACGCGCGCGUUGUCAAGUGACUAAGUAUGAUUUAAUUAUUCCGUCUUUCAGGCGGAUGAUGAGUUUAGAAUGAUGAAGGCCUCAGAAGUGUAACAAUUCCUUCUGCAAAAGAGAUUUCGCUAAAAGCACACACAUUCUCAAUCAGGUCAACCAGGCGAGAGUGGUACCAGUGCGAUAAGAGUCAGACACACAAACAGGUCACAAAGGUAGGUCUGUGCUACAUAACAAAGAAUGGUGUGUGUAAAAAUGCACUUCUCCGAAAACUUCUACAGAACCUAGAUUUGAACGCAAACCCUUCCAUUUCCUACACCAUGGACCUACGCACGGCACCACGGGCUCGCUCCCCAACCUAAGCGUAUAAUCUCCGUUUGUACAUUUCUUCCUUCUCAUGUCUUCGCUCGCACUGUUGCUUUCUUUAUACAAAUUCCAUUAAGGCAUUUCCGAUGGAUUGUACCAGGACCAAGAAGCUUCGUUUCGAUUGCUACAAACGGUAACCGUAAUUGGGAGAGCACGGAAUGUUGCGUAAUGGAGCAACAAGGUUCCAUCCUUCCACCCAUCCACAGAGACGCACAGCGUGUGUGUGUGUGUGUCACAAUCCACAGCCAACAUUGCGAAACCCGCGGAACGUAAAACAUCCAACGAAAUGGAUCGUUGCGAGUGCAAAAGGACACCCUGACACACGCGAAAGAAACCGAACCGGCGCUGAUGGAACGAACGGGUUCAACUCCUGUUCUUUGCAUGGAAAGUCGCGGCAAAUCCCUUUUUCGCUGGAACCUAUGUAUUAGCAUCCUCGUUUUUCGCGCUGCGAUGAUGCCGCAAAUGCCUCGCAGCGAUCGUACGCGAAGGAAAGGUUACUCGCUGGUUGGGUUUAAAGGACAAAACCCCACGUAAGGGGGAAGGGUCGUUCUUGUUUCCCAAAAAAAAAAGGAAAAAUACAACUCACGUACCUGGUGAGCACCAGGGACAGAGAGAACGGGAGAUUAUUUUAAAGACCCAUCAGAAAGUACCGUACGCUGCUUUCAGUACUUCUAAGGGUAUGUUUGGUACACACGGGUUUAGCUGGGGGGGCUUUUGUGUUGAUUUUAUCCCAUCCAUUCCCAUAUCCUAAUGGCGACCUCUAGCCACACGCACACACACCUGGGUCACAAUUUACACAAUACGCCAAAAUGUAUCACAGGAAAAACCCUCCGCAAAAUGUUACUUACAGCAGCAACGAAGGUAACCAUGAAAUUAAACUCCACACAAUCAUGGAUCGUGGUUCUGGUGAUACAUUCCCACGGAAUACUGCCCCAGCCCAGUACCAUCAACAUGGAACAACAAACAACACGGUAAAAGGAGACGAUUGAUGUUGAGCACUUUCAGCGAACGAACGUGACAGAACAGGGGCAGGGAAGAGUUCUUCAGCGUCGCAGGUCUUUUGUGCGCGAGUGUAUGGAGGGAGGGGAGCGUUUCGCGUGAUUUUUAAAAAAUGCGAGCAAAAAUACAUUUUCCUUUCAUUUAUGAUCGCGUUAGCGUCAACAAAUAAGAACGAGUGUUGUGGGAUGGGGUAAAAAUACGUAAAAAAACAGCAGAUACAUCGCUUUAACGAUGAUGAUGUACUUUUGAUGGUGCCGAAUGACUUCUCGGUUUUGUGGCACGGUACAACAGGACCAGCAAUAUAAGGGAGGACAAUAUUCUACACACACGUGUCUUGGGACGCCAAGCGAAAUAUCUUAUAUAGAGGACGAUAAAAAUUACAGCACACAUUUACAUUGUUCACGAGCAGCUAUUCCCUUCCUCUUAUACUGUUUUGGUGUUAUGUUCCCCGUUUCUAAUGAGCAUGAACUAAUGCAGGCUUACAUUUAUGCAGGGAGGAAACGAAAAACCUUUGCGCAAGCAAUAAUGAUAUUGUUUGAUAAUAUUUACUUUUUUUUACAGAAAAAUCAUGUAAAAGGGAAAUUUUACGGCAAAACGAAAAGUACGAUUAUCAGCUAAUGGAUGCAUUGGUUCGUUCGAAUGAACUACACACUAUCGUCGUGGGGAGGAAUAAAAAAACAGCCCAAAAUGAAUUAGCGAUGAUCGUGAUGAAUCAUCUACUCGAACGAAGGAUGAAAUAAACUAAAAUGAGCAGCUUUUUUUGAUUUUAAUGUUCUUUUCUAUGCAAUUUAUCCAUCCUGAAAAGGCUUGGGAAAACCUGAAAUUCUUAACAAAUGUCCAAAACAAAUAAAUGAAUAUAAUGAAAAAAUAUCGAAAUUAAUUAAGGAAAGGUGUAGUGACGUUGUUCAAUUAGAGAGAGG